UAACUAACAUGGUGUUGGAUCUUUGAAUUUAUGACCAAAAAAUUAGAUGGGUUUUGUGAUUUUGGGUGUCACUGUCAAGAUUUGUGAAUGGCAAGAAAACUAAGAACAAGAAGGGUUUAGGAAUACAACUUUUCUCCAUACCCUUUUGUGUGGUCAAGCUACAAGCCUACAACUAGUCGACUGUUAACUGCCUCCGCUACCAUCCCCAAGGGACCCCAACCGCUUGACCAGUGACCACCCACUGGGUCACCACCAUCGCCAUUGUCGGGAAUUGCAGAGGUCAGCAUUCUUGUUCCAAGCGCUUAAAUUCGAUGGUGUGCUGUUCAUAUGGGAAACAAAGGAUUCCAUGAGACUUUGGAUGAACAAAUGCCAGGUUGCUGCUUUUUUACUUGUUCAGAAGUCAAAGAUGAGUGUUUCAUGUUUUUAGUGACUGCACUGAGAACAAGAUCAAUCCGAGAUGGUGGUGGGCAUAAAAUCGGAUCUUCCAUGGCUUAUCUACUUCAAGAUCAACCGGAUCUUCCAUCAGAUAAGUGUUUUAGCAAGGGCUUGGAGAUGUCGAUGGCUAUUGCUCUUUGAUUUUUACCCAGAUGCUUGUAUUAUUUGUCGUUAUAUCGAUACCAGGGACAUCGAAUGGGAUGUAACUGAUAGUAUCAUCAAUAAAUACCUACUCCAUCAUACUAGCCAAAAUUUUUCCCUUUGUGCAUCUCAUUAUUCUGAUAUGUACUCAUGGGUUCAAUGUAGCUAUCUCAGGUACAAGCCCUAAGAAUUCUAGAAUCCGGCCACCCAGAAUAAUAUCACUGAACGUGGAUUCUAGAUUUGAAACCGUAGCUAUAGCUGCUCCCUCAUUGAUUGAGAUUGUUUGAUCCGCCUCAGCUGGAGAAAUCUCAUCUUCAUAUGGCGAUCUCAUAAAGGUAAUUUGAUCCUCCGUCUAAUCGGAACAUCUGCUCCUUUGGAAUAUGUUUUAUCUAGCUCGUUUGGAUCGGACUGCUUACAAAAGCGGUACAAAAUGCACGCGUUGUACUUCGUUGUUGGGUUCAAGCAAUUCUACCAUGUCAUAGGAGUGGACAAUAUAUAUCUUACGGAGUAUCUUUGUUUUUGUAUCGAGCCCAAAUCACUCGUUUGGAUCUUCCCUUCAAAAGUUAGGCCUAUACUAUUACUUCCUGCAUCAAAAUACAUCUUGUAGCAUAAACACAGGAUUAUAAGUGACGCUGCAAGACGAUGGUGAUUGAGCCUCAUUUUGACCCACUGAAUUUUGUGCGAGAAUGAAUAGAGCGAAACAUUCAGUUCUCGUUUAUCCCAGAAAUCCCCACAGCUUUUAAAGGAACCAUGACUGAUCCAAUCCAAGGAACCAAGCUCAAUGCUGCUUUUGAAUGGAUCAGUUGAGAUGCUUGUGAUAUUUGUUGUUUUAUCAAUACCAAGGAUAUUAGAUGGGAUAUAGCCGAUAUUAGUAUCAUCAUCAAACUUCAUCAUACUAGCCAAAUUAUUUCCCCGAAAACCUGUUGUUCCUCGUGUGUAUUUGUAAUAGACUGGAAUUGCCGUUAUAGUGAAUAAUAGAACACUGAAAUGUAAUAACUUGUAUUGAUGUAAUGGACAGAAACAAGAUAGCAAUAUAAGUAUUCGAGAGGCUUGCUCUCGAACUCAACCUAAAUGUGUCGUACAAUUUUCUGAUCUGUUUCUCUACACCUUAUACGAAUGUUGAUGAAUUGAUUAUGAAUGACUAUAGCCGGGAACAUUUUGUUAUGCCCUUGUAUUUGUUCUGUUGCUAGAGGCUGCUGGGUGUGUGAGUGUGUCAUUUUAUGUGCUGUUUACGAAAUCUGUCUUGGCUUAGAAGAUUUGCCUCGUUGGUGAAGAUCUCUGUCGCAGAUAGAACUAUUUGCAACGAUGAUCUUGAUUAUCUGAUAUGCGUCUUUUCUCGUCUUGAGAGGCUAUAUCUGUUCCAUACUUAUCAAGACUGGUGUAGUUAGGUUCGAAAUCGUAAGUACAGCUGCUCCCUUUUGGUUGAGAAUGUUGACGUGCUAAGGGUUUGC